ensembl:lncRNA
UUUUCCUUUCAAAUGAGGCCAGCUCCUCAAGCCAUUAGGCUGAGUUGCAUCAGCUGUGGCUCUGGCUUGGGGAAAUUAAAGGUGAGCACCUGUGCCAGCUCAGCAACACCGCAGUGCAUGAGCACGUAGAAGAAGUUAAGCUGCUGGGGAGCGAACAAGGCUGGAGCCUCAGUGAUGCUGGUGGAUCAGUGGCCUGGAAACAUCACGCUGCUGUGACUCAGCAGAGGACCUUUUUCUGGAGAGGCACUCCACCUGAGGUGUCCCACAGGAGUGAAGCUUCCUUUGUGCUAACAGCUACAAUACAAACACGCGGUGACAGGCAGAUCCAGGCGCAAACCCAUCACAGUGUAUGUAUCACAGUAGUAAUUUAGCACCCAUUCUCUGAAGUCUUAAAAGCUCCUCAUUUUUUGCUCCUGUGGUCAGUUCAGGGAGGAUCCUUCCCCAGGUAAUUCUAGAAACAAAGUUCAUUGUAUGGCAUACUGAUGUUUUACUGGAUAAGUGGUUUGAAGUUGUGAGCUGGGGCACCCCAGUAGCAUUUCCGUCC